rnacentral:rRNA from 1 species
GCCUUGCCAGCCCGCUCAGAACUCAAAGGAAUUGACGGGGGCCCCGCACAAGCGGUGGAGCAUGUGGUUUAAUUCGACGCAACGCGAAGAACCUUACCUGGGCUAGACAACGGUGGACCUCCCCAGAGAUGGGGAUUUCCCUUCGGGGACUGCCGGAUCAGGUGCUGCAUGGCUGUCGUCAGCUCGUGCCGUGAGGUGUUGGGUUAAGUCCCGCAACGAGCGCAACCCUUUAUCGUUAUUUGCCAACACGUAAUGGUGGGAACUCUAACGAGACUGCCUGGGUUAACCAGGAGGAAGGUGAGGAUGACGUCAAGUCCGCAUGGCCCUUAUGUCUGGGGCUACACACGUGCUACAAUGGUCGGUACAGAAGGCAGCGAAGCCGCGAGGUGGAGCAAAUCCCAAAAAGCCGAUCUCAGUUCAGAUUGUAGUCUGCAACUCGACUACAUGAAGACGGAAUUGCUAGUAAUGGCGAGUCAGCAACAUCGCCGUGAAUACGUUCCCGGGUCUU